rnacentral:tRNA from 1 species
GGGAGCAUGGCUCAACUGGUAGAGAGCCUGCUUCGCAAGCAGGACUCCCUGAGUUCAAACUCCAGUACUACCU